rnacentral:tRNA from 4 species
GUCCCGUUGGCUCAGUGGGAGAGCAUCCGCCUGUCGAGCGGAGGGUCGCCGGUUCGAUCCCGGCACGGGGCG